rnacentral:lncRNA from 1 species
CAGAAGUUCCAUAUAUCUUUCUGUAAAACAGCCACCCGGCCCUCUGGGUCACAUCGUCUGUUUGUUUCUUGCUGGCCCUCAUCACAGCCUGAAAUGUUCUUCUUCAGGGGUUUCUUUACUGCUUAUCAUUUGUCUCCCUGCCCUCCCAAGAAGGCACAACCUUGUCUCCAGAUCCUAGCACAGGACUUUGGCACGCAGAGGAUGCUGAAGUUUGUUGACUGACUAAUGGAGCGAGACCACAGAGCGCCCACCAUUUACUGUGCCCUUUACCCUGUUACGUUAUUUCAUCCUCCCGGUGACCCUGAGGCUCUGAAAGAUGAAACAAUUAGAUUCAGGUCAUCUGGAAGUCAAACAGGUGACAUUUAGGAAGCCCUUCGUGGACCCUGGCCACAGGUAAGUCCUAGGCUGUCCUGGGGGAGGAGGAGAGCGACCAUUGAGAGAGGCUGACCGCGCGCCAGGCUCUGCGCCACCCCUGUGAGUUCUCAGUGUCUUUGGGAAGCUUCCAGGCUCUGAAGAAAGAAAUGGCUCUGGGAGUGGGUGGAUUCUAAAGAUGAGGGUUGGAAAUUUCGGAGGCCUGGAGGGAACAAUUCUGCCCUGAAGCAUCUCUCUUCGAAGACACUUUCCUGAAAGUGGCUGUCACUGAAUCCCUCUGAUGCGCCACAUGAAGGCGCUGAGAGAUGAGAUUGGCAAGUGAAAUGAACCUGUCUUCACGCUUGAUAAAUCAGAGCGGAUCGUCAGUCCUGCCACUCCUGUCCACCUUUCAAAGACAGGAGAGAGAAUGGGACUCAAUGCGCACUGCCCGAUGGAGUCCCAGCCCUGCCACAUACCAGCAGGGUGACCUGGAUCUGUCUCUUAACCUAUCCAAGCCUCACUUUCUGCACCUGCAAAUUGGGGAUGAUAAGACCUAAGUCACGCUUUGUCCUGAGGACUAAAUGAGAUGUCAUGGAAAGCUCUUAGCCCAGUGCCUGGCCCAAAGAAAACAGACACCAAAAGUUGAGUAGUAUUAUUUUUAUCACUGUAUCAUCCAGCCCUUUCCUGUUUCACAGAGAUGUCAGGUCCGUUCACGUUGCAGUGAAAAACAGGAAGAAAAGCUGACCCCUUUGGGUGCCUGUUCGUGUGAAAAUACAAUAACAUAAGUUAUGA